GGCCUGGAGGAGCCCCUGCCCCGCAGCCGCGGCCCCGGCACCACGCAACUCCAGUUCCAGCUCCAGCUUGGCGGCUCUGAAAUGGUCUUGCUGAGAUUGCUUUUCAUCUGAGCUUCAGGUGUUCCAAGGUGAAACCUCUGAGGCCACGGGACCCUCGCCAGCGGCGGAGCCAACAGAAGCUGCAGCCUCGGAACAAUAAAUUCCAGGGGUGAGAGGCCACCAAACCUUCAAGAGGAAAUAUGAGCCAAGGGCUGCACGGUGGAACCUUGUGUGGGCUUUCCCUGUCCGGGAGCUGAGGGAAUGGGAGGAUCUUGCCUUGCAGACUUUCCAAAAUCCCUGCUCCUCCUCCUUUCGAGAUAUGAGGUUUCUAGGUCCAUCCCAGAAAAGUAUCUUUUACUCCAUAAAUUCUUGUUGAAACUCCUGUGUAAGCGUUCACAUUGUGCUCAGUUAAUUUAAAACUUUAAUACUUACAAUAACACUCUGAAAUCCACCAUAGCCCCCAAAGUACAGACUGGAGGACUAAGACAGAAGGAAUAAGUAACUGUGUGCUCGUGGUCAGUCGAAUCAGUGGCAACUGGUGACGGGUGACCGAAAGGAGGUCAGGAAAGAAAUAAGCUCUACAGCUGCGGUCCCAAUCCCACAUCUGCUCAAUUCCUGCAGUUUAAUUCCGUUGUUGUAAAGAAAUGAAGAAGGACAGUGGUUUAGGCGAUUGCUGAGUAAAGUUCUGCCUGAUGAGAAAGAAAGAAGUUUAUCCGAUACCAGUUUUAGUUUCUGUUUUCUUUUGCUUUUUAGCCUACCAGAGCACAUCUCAAAAUGUGAUGUAAAUGUUUAUCUUUAUCCUCCCUCUGAAAUGUUUUUUCACCUGAUGUCUAUUUCCCUCCCUCCCUCCCUCUCUCUCCCUCCCUCUUUCUCCCUCCCUCCUUCCCUUUUUCUCUCCCUCCCUCCCUCUUUCUCUCUCCCUAAUUCUCUCCCUCUCCCUUCCUCCCUCCCUCCCUCUCCCUCCCUCUCUCUCCCUCUCCCUCCCUCUUUCCCUCUCCCUCCCUCUCUCUCCCUCUUCCCCCCUCUUUCCCUCUCCCUCCCUCUCUCUCCUCCCUCUCUCCCUCCCUCCCUCUCUUCCUCUCCCUCCCUCUCUCCCUCCCGCUUUCCCUCUCCCUCCCUCCCUCUCUCCCUCCCUCCCUCUCUUCCUCUCCCUCCCUCUCUCCCUCCCGCUUUCCCUCUCCCUCCCUUCCUCUCUCUCUCCCUCCCUCUCUUUCCCUCUCCCUCCCUCCCCCUCCCUCUCUCCCUCCUUCUCUCUCCCUCUCUCUCUCUCCUUCCCUUUUUCCCUCUCCCUCCCUCCCUCUCUCUCUCCCUUCCUCCCUCCCUUUCCCUCUCCCUCCCUCCCUCCCUCUCUCCCUCUCUCACUCACUGUGGCUCCUAAUAGGAACCUCAGCCUCAUCAUUCUUUGCAAUUCAGCUUCCCAACUUCAUCCUUUCCGUCAUUAAAUGCUUCUGUUUAAUCUAAGAAAUGGCUCUUCAAUCUCAUUCCAACUCCCCAUUCCUGCUACCUUAGUUCUUUUUCUCCUCAUUUCUUGCUUAAGCUAGUACAAAAGCUUUCUGAUUGAUUCCAAAGUCUAAAUCUUGAAAAUUUUAGUGGGGUCCUCUGGGACACAAAUAUAAUGAUAGAAAACAAAACUUCAGAAAUUAAGUCAGUCAAUCAGAAGAGAGGUAGUGCUUUGAGAUCUAUCUUCUGUUUAGUUGAAACCAUACACGUAGGUAGGAUUCCAGCUACAGUUGAAGGAAAACAAUAUGAGCAAAAGGCUAUGGGACCAUGGGGGAGGGAGGAACUAAUUCCACUUGAGGAGUUGUAGAAUGUGUCACAGAGAAAAUGACAUCUCAUCUAGAUAUUUGAAGAAUAAGUAGAAUUUGCUAUGGGAAAAGUGGUGUCAAAUAAAAGAAAUGUAGUGCAAAUGUACAGAGAAAUUUAAGGUAAUGGAGUGUUUAUAAGGCAGGUUCUGCUAAAUUCUAUGUGCACAUAGAAGAGACACAGUUCUUACUGUCAUACAGGUCAUAGAUUACUAGGGUGAUCUAGUAUUAAACAAACCAUGACAUGAAAGUUAUGGUGUUUAAAUAAUUGAGCUAGUAAUAUGAAGAAAAUAGAGGAUGCAACAUAAUCUAUUUUAGUUUUGGAUGUUUGAAAUGGUAUUUUUGAGAAAAGUUUGGAGUGGUAAAAACAAAAGCUAUAGAAAAGAGAGAACAGAAUCUGGGCAUGGUGUCACACACAUGUUGCUAAGAGCCAAGUAUAUGAUGCAUGGCAUUUUUGGUCGAAAGGUGACGCCAGCUAGCCAUUGAGAUGAUAUGAUUAUGUUAAGAUUUGCAUUCAUAUGGAUAUUGGACUCCUGCUGUUCACCUAGGCCGGCUAAGGGACUCCUGGAGAGUUCCCAUUGGUUGGGGAAGUACAGUAGGAGGGAGUUCUGGGGGAGGAGCUCUCUCUGCGGUGCGGGAGGAGGCCCCGUGGGUGGAAAAAAUCUCUGCCCGGAUGCUACCGGACAUUGGCGGCAGUUUCAAAAAAUAAACUUUGUUCCUGCUUGA